CACUGCGCACGCUCCACCCCGGAAACCACGAGCCCAUUGCUGAUGACAAAAGGCUGCCACCAGCGAAGUCGAGUUGUGUUGGUGAGGGCCCCCUCAGGCAGGAGGAUGUAGUCGUGCCUCACAGAAAUGUAUUUCUGGAAAUCCAUCUCGUGAAGCAAGGUCCAAGUGAUUCCUAUAAAAACCCAAAUUUAUCAGCUCCCUAGCACCAGGACGGCAACUCACAAACCAGCAGCAAUUGUGUUUCACAGCUGAUGUUGGUACUGAACGAACAUAGGUCUUGAACUAGAAAUUAUGUGACCUGUGUCUUGUUGGGAACUUUGAGCAGAGCGAUGCCAAGUAUCAGCAUGGAAGGUGUCACCCUUGAGAGUUCCUGGUUUCUUCUGCUUCAUGUCCACAACUGUGUGCCACAAUUACCUUGCAUGUGAUAAAUCCAGGUCCCGUGUUACUAGCAUGCGCAAGCCGUCCUCAUUGAAGAAGAGGUUGUUCCCACUGGAAAGGAUGCCACACUUACGAGACGGCUUCCCACCGCUCAUCAGUAAGAAUCGAUCGGAUUCCAGUUG
rnacentral:lncRNA from 1 species